rnacentral:rRNA from 1 species
UACGAAGGGGGCUAGCGUUGCUCGGAAUCACUGGGCGUAAAGCGCACGUAGGCGGCUUUUUAAGUCAGGGGUGGAAUCCUGGAGCUCAACUCCAGAACUGCCUUUGAUACUGGGAAGCUCGAGUCCGGGAGAGGUGAGUGGAACUCCGAGUGUAGAGGUGAAAUUCGUAGAUAUUCGGAAGAACACCAGUGGCGAAGGCGGCUCACUGGCCCGGUACUGACGCUGAGGUGCGAAAGCGUGGGGAGCAAACAGG